rnacentral:rRNA from 1 species
GGACCGGCGCGACGGGUGAGUAACGCGUACUCCCAACCUCGCCCCACCUACGUUGGGGAAUUAACCUUGACGAAAGUAAGACUAAUACCCAAUGAUAUCCCACGAAGGCAUCCGAAUGGGAUUAAAGAUUUAUCGGUGAUGGAUGGGGAUGCGUCUGAUUAGCUAGUUGGCGGGGCAACGGCCCACCAAGGCGACGAUGCGUAGGGUUCUGAGAGGAAGGUCCCCCACACUGGUACUGAGACACGGACCAGACUCCUACGGGAGGCAGCAGUGAGGAAUAUUGGUCAAUGGGCGCAGGCCUGAACCAGCCAAGUCGCGUGAGGGAGGACGGUCCUACGGAUUGUAAACCUCUUUUGUCGGGGAGUAACGUGCGGGACGCGUCCCGUAUUGAGAGUACCCGAAGAAAAAGCAUCGGCUAACUCCGUG